rnacentral:rRNA from 1 species
UACGUAGGGACCAAGCGUUGUCCGGAAUCAUUGGGCGUAAAGAGCUCGUAGGCGGUUUGUCGCGUCUGCCGUGAAAGUCCGGGGCUCAACCCGGCCCGCUGCAGUCGAUACGGGCAGACUAGAGUGCGGUAGGGGAGACUGGAAUUCCUGGUGUAGCGGUGAAAUGCGCAGAUAUCAGGAGGAACACCGGUGGCGAAGGCGGGUCUCUGGGCAGUAACUGACGCUGAGGAGCGAAAGCGUGGGGGAGCGAACAGG